CGUGGAUUAAUUAUGACGAUGAAUUCAAAUGUAAUAUUUUUUCGAUAAACAAUAUCAAAAAUGACGAAACUCUAAUUAUUAUUAAUAACUCAAUUCAAAUGUCUUAAACACUCAGGGACGUAGAGAACAGGUUAAAAACAUCAAUUACAAUGCUAAUGAGAACAAGAGUGAGUAAAGUCUAUGAAUUAUAAAACGUAGCCAAAAGGGCAGUUUGUUUUGGAAAUGAUAGGUUAGUUUUUUUAACGAAAAUUUGCACGGGUUUAACCUUUCGGGUAAGGCCUUUCGCAGGAACGAUAUCGGCCAGCUGUACAUGUUGUUGUCCAAAAGCGCAGCAUAAGCUCAUCUAUAGUCCACGACACGAAAACUUGCCCCUGAGUAUUGCGACUCACAACACCCGCUUACCCUACCCGAUAGCAAUGGAUUCUUAACCUUUAUCGUUUAUUGUACAUUGCGCAGCUAUUGCAGUGCUGUGGGUAUUUAGUACGGCUAUUAGCACUAAUGGGGCGAAUAGGCCACUAGGUUUGCGACGGUCAGGGACCAGAUUUCGUGUCACAGACUAUAGCUGGAAGUCCCAGGGUAUUUAUACUAGCCGCCGAGAAC